UCUAAUUAAACAAACAUUAUUCUUUCUCCAAAAAUUAAUAUUCCCUCUCCCUUGUCGUCGUCAGAUCCCCAAAUUUCUUCUCGAUUUUUUGCUCGUAAUCCGACUUCGAUUGCCAUGAGGAAUUUCGUCGGCCUUCCGAUCAUUGCCAUUAUACUGUUGGCGAUUUUUCAAUUCGCCGCCGGGCAGGGCGGCGCUCCUUCACCUGCGCCGGCGCCUUCCAGCGAUGGCACUGCGAUUGAUCAGGGAAUUGCUUACAUCCUCAUGCUUGUUGCGCUCGCGAUUACUUAUUUAAUCCACUGAGUUGAAUUAUUUUUUUCUAUUCUUUUUUUAGUAGUAGUAUUUUUUUAUAGAGAUUGAUUUUUGUGGUUUAGUGAUAUUUAAUAUUUAUUCAAUUCUUCCUGCGUUUUAGCCAAUUAUUACAGCUAUUAAAUACCUGGAGUUCCAUAUCUGUAGCUUACUUGUUGAGAAUUUGAAUGCAAAUGGUAUUCUCUUUUAGAAUUUA